GACGAACGCUGGCGGCGUGCUUAACACAUGCAAGUCGAACGGAAAGGCCUCAGCUUGCUGGGGUACUCGAGUGGCGAACGGGUGAGUAACACGUGGGUGAUCUGCCUUGCACUCUGGGAUAAGCUUGGGAAACUGGGUCUAAUACCGGAUAUGAACUGCCUUUAGUGUGGUGGUUGGAAAGUUUUUUCCGUGCAAGAUGAGCUCGCGGCCUAUCAGCUUGAUGGUGGGGGAGUGGCCAACGAAGGCGUCGGCGUGUAGCCGGCCUGUGAGGGUGUACGGCCACAUUGGGACCGAGAGACGGCCCAGACGCCGACGGGAGGCAGCAGUGGGGAAGAUUGCACAAUGGGCGGAAGCCUGAUGCAGCGACGCCGCGUGGGGGAGGACGGCCUUCGGGUUGUAAAAUCCUUUCGACAGGGACGAAGCUUUUUGUGACGGUACCUGUAGAAGAAGCACCGGCUAACUACGUG
rnacentral:rRNA from 1 species